UGCUCUACUUGUUUAUAUUUGCAAUUAUAUUGUUCUUAGUCUAUCAUAGUUAUAUGCUUGGCUUAGUUAGAUUGGAAUUAUAUACAUGUUUAGGAUCGUAUAGCGUUUAUCCAUGUGUACAGUGGGUAAAUGAUAAGUAUUGUGUAGGCAUGGUGCCUAUACCGUAUUUAUCUGCGAUUGUACCCUAUAUGCCAGACCGCGGGGUAGUUCGUGGUAGUGAUAGCUCCAUUGAUUCUUAUAUAGUCCCCC
rnacentral:lncRNA from 1 species